rnacentral:rRNA from 1 species
AGAGUUUGAUCCUGGCUCAGAACGAACGUUGGCGGCGUGGAUGAGGCAUGCAAGUCGAACGCGAAAGCUCUCUUCGGAGAGUGAGUAGAGUGGCGAACGGGUGAGUAACACGUAAUCAAACUGCCCUCGAGACUGGGAUAACCGCGGGAAACUGCGGCUAAUACCGGAUCGCCCUUCUGGACCGCAUGGUCUGGUUGGUAAAUGGAUGGGAUCCUCCGGGACCAUCUGCUCGGGGAGGUGGUUGCGGCCUAUCAGCUAGUUGGUGGUGUAACGGACCACCAAGGCGACGACGGGUAGCGGGCCUGAGAGGGUGGCCCGUCACACUGGGACUGAGACACUGCCCAGACUCCUACGGGAGGCUGCAGUCGAGAAUCUUCCGCAAUGGACGAAAGUCUGACGGAGCGACGCCGCGUGUAGGACGAAGGCCCUAGGGUUGUAAACUACUGUCACGGGUUAUGAAUGGGCUGCAGUUAAUAGCUGCAGAUUUGACGUAAGCCCGAAAGGAAGCACCGGCUAACUCUGUGCCAGCAGCCGCGGUAAUACAGAGGGUGCAAACGUUGUUCGGAAUUACUGGGCAUAAAGCGCACGUAGGCGGUUAAGUAAGUGUGGAGUGAAAGCCCACGGCUCACCCGUGGAAUUGCUUCGCAUACUGCUUGACUAGAGGAAGGUAGGGGAGAGCAGAACUCUUGGAGGAGCGGUGAAAUGCGUAGAUAUCAAGAGGAAUACCAGUGGCGAAGGCGGCUCUCUGGUCCUUUUCUGACGCUGAGGUGCGAAAGCUAGGGUAGCGAACGGGAUUAGAUACCCCGGUAGUCCUAGCCGUAAACGAUGGAUACUAGCUAGAGGCCCACCUAAGGGUCUCUGGUGAAGCAAAUGUGUUAAGUAUCCCGCCUGGGGAGUAUGGUCGCAAGGCUAAAACUCAAAGGAAUUGACGG